CACGCAACGCCUGUAACUUAGCUUCAACCUGUGCAUUUUUAAACCCGAGGUGAGCAAAGUUUCAGGUGAGUGGGUGU
rfam:Asian citrus Psyllid, Diaphorina citri - Florida Strain, whole genome shotgun sequence.